rnacentral:rRNA from 1 species
GAUGAACGCUGGCGGCGUGCCUAGUACAUGCAAGUCGAGCGAACGGACGAGAAGCUUGCUUCUCUGAUGUUAGCGGCGGACGGGUGAGUAACACGUGGAUAACCUACCUAUAAGACUGGGAUAACUUCGGGAAACCGGAGCUAAUACCGGAUAAUAUUUUGAACCGCAUGGUUCAAAAGUGAAAGACGGUCUUGCUGUCACUUAUAGAUGGAUCCGCGCUGCAUUAGCUAGUUGGUAAGGUAACGGCUUACCAAGGCAACGAUGCAUAGCCGACCUGAGAGGGUGAUCGGCCACACUGGAACUGAGACACGGUCCAGACUCCUACGGGAGGCAGCAGUAGGGAAUCUUCCGCAAUGGGCGAAAGCCUGACGGAGCAACGCCGCGUGAGUGAUGAAGGUCUUCGGAUCGUAAAACUCUGUUAUUAGGGAAGAACAUAUGUGUAAGUAACUGUGCACAUCUUGACGGUACCUAAUCAGAAAGCCACGGCUAACUACGUGCCAGCAGCCGCGGUAAUACGUAGGUGGCAAGCGUUAUCCGGAAUUAUUGGGCGUAAAGCGCGCGUAGGCGGUUUUUUAAGUCUGAUGUGAAAGCCCACGGCUCAACCGUGGAGGGUCAUUGGAAACUGGAAAACUUGAGUGCAGAAGAGGAAAGUGGAAUUCCAUGUGUAGCGGUGAAAUGCGCAGAGAUAUGGAGGAACACCAGUGGCGAAGGCGACUUUCUGGUCUGUAACUGACGUUGAUGUGCGAAAGCGUGGGGAUCAAACAGGAUUAGAUACCCUGGUAGUCCACGCCGUAAACGAUGAGUGCUAAGUGUUAGGGGGUUUCCGCCCCUUAGUGCUGCAGCUAACGCAUUAAGCACUCCGCCUGGGGAGUACGACCGCAAGGUUGAAACUCAAAGGAAUUGACGGGGACCCGCACAAGCGGUGGAGCAUGUGGUUUAAUUCGAAGCAACGCGAAGAACCUUACCAAAUCUUGACAUCCUUUGACAACUCUAGAGAUAGAGCCUUCCCCUUCGGGGGACAAAGUGACAGGUGGUGCAUGGUUGUCGUCAGCUCGUGUCGUGAGAUGUUGGGUUAAGUCCCGCAACGAGCGCAACCCUUAAGCUUAGUUGCCAUCAUUAAGUUGGGCACUCUAAGUUGACUGCCGGUGACAAACCGGAGGAAGGUGGGGAUGACGUCAAAUCAUCAUGCCCCUUAUGAUUUGGGCUACACACGUGCUACAAUGGACAAUACAAAGGGCAGCGAAACCGCGAGGUCAAGCAAAUCCCAUAAAGUUGUUCUCAGUUCGGAUUGUAGUCUGCAACUCGACUACAUGAAGCUGGAAUCGCUAGUAAUCGUAGAUCAGCAUGCUACGGUGAAUACGUUCCCGGGUCU